UUAGAGUUUGAUCCUGGCUCAGGAUGAACGCUAGCGGGAGGCUUAACACAUGCAAGUCGAGGGGCAGCACGAUGUAGCAAUACGUUAGUGGCGACCGGCGCACGGGUGAGUAACACGUAUGCAACCUACCCUGUACAGGGGGAUAACCCGGAGAAAUUCGGACUAAUAUCCCAUAAAGAUAUUUGAGGGCAUCCUUGGAUAUUUAAAGCUCAGGCGGUACGGGAUGGGCAUGCGGAACAUUAGCUAGUUGGCAGGGUAACGGCCUACCAAGGCAACGAUGUUUAGGGGACCUGAGAGGGUGAUCCCCCACACUGGUACUGAGACACGGACCAGACUCCUACGGGAGGCAGCAGUGAGGAAUAUUGGUCAAUGGGCGCAAGCCUGAACCAGCCAUCCCGCGUGCAGGAAGACGGCCCUAUGGGUUGUAAACUGCUUUUCCAGGGGGAGAAUUUUUCUGUCGUGACAGGAAUUGACGGUACCCUGGGAAUAAGCAUCGGCUAACUCCGUGCCAGCAGCCGCGGUAAUACGGAGGAUGCGAGCGUUAUCCGGAUUUAUUGGGUUUAAAGGGUGCGUAGGCGGAGUGAUAAGUCAGUGGUGAAAACCUGCAGCUUAACUGUAGACUUGCCGUUGAUACUGUCAGUCUUGAGUGUGGUCAAGGUAAGCGGAAUGUGUAAUGUAGCGGUGAAAUGCUUAGAUAUUACACAGAACACCGAUUGCGAAGGCAGCUUACUGGGCCAUUACUGACGCUGAUGCACGAAAGCGUGGGGAUCGAACAGGAUUAGAUACCCUGGUAGUCCACGCCGUAAACGAUGAUCACUCGCUGUUAGCGAUACACAGUUAGCGGCUAAGCAAAAGCAUUAAGUGAUCCACCUGGGGAGUACGGCCGCAAGGCUGAAGCUCAAAGGAAUUGACGGGGGCCCGCACAAGCGGAGGAACAUGUGGUUUAAUUCGAUGAUACACGAAAAACCUUACCCGGGUUUGACAUAUAAGUAGUAGGGAUCUGAAAGGUGACCGACCCUUCGGGGAGCUUAUACAGGUGCUGCAUGGCUGUCGUCAGCUCGUGCCGUGAGGUGUUCGGUUAAGUCCGGUAACGAGCGCAACCCUCACUGUAUGUUACAAG
rnacentral:rRNA from 1 species